GCAGACUUCCAGUGUUGGGAGGAACAUUAUGUGCCAAUGAGCUCCUAGUCAACAAAGGUGAGCAAACCCCUGGUGAGGGCACAACCAGGAGGAUGCAGGCAUCUGCUGGAGAAAUGGGCCAGUACCCCAAUGUCCAUGAUGCCUAAUUUCCCCUUCUCAAUUCUUUGGCUCUCACUCACUGGGGCCUCUGUUUUCCAAAGCAGCAAGCAGCCUGCGUGUUCUGUCCAAAGGGACCUUGGUGGGAGCAGAGAGCCCAGACCACUCAGGUGAACAUGGAAGAAUGGAAGGAACAUCUGCAACACAGAGAUGGCAUGCACUGGACACAAAGUGGAGAGAGGAAUCUAAGCGCCUGGACCGGUAAACUCAUCUCUAGAGAGAGCCGGGAUGGGCGUGAAGAGUCCGAAAGUUCCCCCAGUGUGGCUACUGGAGCCGGCGGAGACCAAGAAGGAGCAAUCGGGCAGGCAGAGGAAGGAAAGUCCGUCUUGCAGGCCGAUGGGCGCUCUCAUGUCUACAGCUGCAGGGAAACCAGAUUCGGCCUCUCCUGCCACCCUCGUACCUUAAUCUUCACUCUCCUGGAUCCCUCUCUCUCCUAUUUAUUCCAUCUGUUUUCUCUUUCCCAGUCUGUGCCUCUCUCCUUGGGCUCUGUCUCUGGGCCCUGUCUCUGGGCCUCCCCCUGCACCCUCCCUGCUCAGCCCUGUCAGCCAGGCCCAGGCCCCCCAGGACGCGGGAUCCCCAGCAGCCACCGGCACGUGCCAAUCUUCGCCCUGGCGGAGGCGUCUCCAUGGGCCGCGGGCCCCGUGGCGCGCCUCCUGCCCGCGUAAUGCGCUCUAAUAUUUAUUUACAUGCCUUUCAGACUAUUAUUUAUUAAAGUAUCGCUGCCAAC
rnacentral:lncRNA from 1 species